UACGGAGGAUGCGAGCGUUAUCCGGAUUUAUUGGGUUUAAAGGGUGCGCAGGCGGUCUGUUAAGUCAGCGGUCAAAGCCCGGGGCUCAACCCCGGCCCGCCGUUGAAACUGGCAGUCUUGAGUGGGCGAGAAGUAUGCGGAAUGCGUGGUGUAGCGGUGAAAUGCAUAGAUAUCACGCAGAACGCCGAUUGCGAAGGCAGCAUACCGGCGCCCAACUGACGCUGAGGCACGAAAGCGUGGGGAUCGAACAGG
rnacentral:rRNA from 1 species